rnacentral:rRNA from 1 species
AGCGAACGCUGGCGGCAGGCUUAACACAUGCAAGUCGAGCGGGCGUAGCAAUACGUCAGCGGCAGACGGGUGAGUAACGCGUGGGAACGUACCUUUUGGUUCGGAACAACCCAGGGAAACUUGGGCUAAUACCGGAUAAGCCCUUACGGGGAAAGAUUUAUCGCCGAAAGAUCGGCCCGCGUCUGAUUAGCUAGUUGGUGAGGUAACGGCUCACCAAGGCGACGAUCAGUAGCUGGUCUGAGAGGAUGAUCAGCCACAUUGGGACUGAGACACGGCCAAACUCCUACGGGAGGCAGCAGUGGGGAAUAUUGGACAAUGGGCGCAAGCCUGAUCCAGCCAUGCCGCGUGAGUGAUGAAGGCCCUAGGGUUGUAAAGCUCUUUUGUCAGGGAAGAAACGGUUCGGGCUAAUACCCUGGGCUAAUGACGGUACCUGAAGAAUAAGCACCGGCUAACUACGUGCCAGCCGCCGCCGUAAC